rnacentral:tRNA from 1 species
GGUAGGUUAACUCAGAAGUUUUUGGUCUAGAGUACUGCACUAACAAUGCAGCGGUCGUGAGGUUCGAAUCCCACACCUACCA